GUCUGUUGUCUUAGGCUGGGAGUCCAGUCCAGUCUGCUGUCUUAGGCUGGGAGUCCAGUCAAGUCUGUUGUCUUAGGCUGGGAGUCCAGUCCAGGCUGUUGUCUUAGGCUGGGAGUCCAGUCCAGUCUGUUGUCUUAGGCUGGGAGUCCAGUCCAGUCUGUUGUCUUAGGCUGGGAGUCCAGUCCAGUCUGUUGUCUUAGACUUGGAGUCCAGUCCAGUCUGUUGUCUUAGGCUGGGAGUCCAGUCCAGUCUGGUCAUUGUCUUGUGUUUCUUUCUAGGGUACAGAGGUCAGAAAGGAGAGAGGGGUCAGCUAGGUCUGGGGAUACCAGGACCUCCAGGUCUGGCAGGACCACCAGGUGAACCUGGAAGCAGUAUCCAGGGGCCAUCAGGCCCUUCAGGUCCCCAGGGACCUCAUGGUAAAUGUGAUCCCAGUGACUGUCCCCAUCCAUCCUCUCACUCCAGACGGAACGGCUAGGACCCCCCCUCAACUGAUAGGGGACCCUUCAAUGAAUAAGGGCCCUCUCAAUGGCUAGGGCCAAGGGGCCCCCUCCACCCAUCCAGCCUCCAUCUCUCUAUAGCAGUCAACCAUAGGCACAGGAGCCGGGCGUGUGGAGCCUGAUCACUCAGUCAGCCCAUAUCAGACAGACAGUAUCGUCCUUGUGGUCAGUUUUACAUUGAAAACACACAUCCUCUGUUUCUCCUUUACAUGGGAAAGACUCAACCAGAAAUAGAUACAACAUGUAUCUCAACACAAUAGUGUAGGAUGAAAUUGCAAAUAGAUGCUGAUCUUGGGUCAGUUUUGCAUUUUCCCCACUAAUUGUUAAGGUCAGGAUUGGGGGAGGGGAAGCUGAUCCUAGAUCUGUACCUUUCGGUUUUCUUAUGACCAUAGAAGCAUUGAAAUGCAAUUAUUUGUUGCUUUACGUUGAUGGUUAUUCUGUUCAUUAGAAAUGUGUUACAGUCCAUUAUUAUUGUCAUUGUUGCUAUGAUGAUCAUAUGAAGUACUGUUUCAUUUAUUUCUUGUUUUCACACAACUCCCCUGCUGUGACCUGAUGCAUUCCAUAUUCAUUCACAUGAAGUCUUUCGAGGCCGUAAAUUCAUUUGUUUCUUUAAAUAAUACUGUAGGGAGAAAGCAUUUUCUCAUAUGAUUUAAUAAUGCUUGUUUAUGGGGAUAGCUAUGCACACGUUUGGUCUCAUUUGAUGUUUUCGUUGUGUGUGUGUGAGCUGGUAAACAGGCAGAAAUGUGUGUGUUUGUGUAUGACUAAUCAAUAUUCUUUGUGUGAACUGUUUAUGCAAAGUGAAGGAGGAUCAUAUAACACGAAAUAUAGUUCUGAAUAUAUAUUUCAUAUAUUAAUAUAUAUUUCCUCAAUGAAUGGGAUAUUUGUGAAACGUGUCAGAAGGAAGCUAGCUACAUGAUUUGAUCCAUUUACAUAACAUAAUGAAUAUCUUGUAGUGUAAUUCAUUACUAGAGCUUUGUUUAUGAAUUUUAUGUUUUGAGAAUGCUAAAUAUUCUGUGUUUCAAACACUACCAGUCAGAUAUAUUGCAUGAUACUGUUGUAAUUGUAAAGGGAUGGUCUUGUAUCAAAACAGAAUACUGGGUUCCUCUCUCGUCACCCUACACUCUAGGUACUUUAUGUGAGGCGUUACUCAGUGAGAUCUCUCCACAUACUAUACACCUCAACAUGUAGUGUUCAUAACAGACUAAUUGAGUAGCCUGCUAGAUUGGGUUCUGAGUUCUGAUAUUAUUCAACAGGUAACAUUGCCUGACUGUUGCCAUAUCUCAAGACAACCAGCACAACGUGAUGAAGGGUUAAACACUAGCUUAAUGCCAACUGAAUGUAGUUUGUGACGGCUUGGUCAAGUUGACAUUUCUUCCAUGUACAGUUUGUGUGUAAGUGUGUAUAUUAUGCUAAUGUCGUAUCACCUCACGUUCACGUGAAGUUAGCCGCGAAGACUUCAAUGUAGAUUUCUUGCAGUCAUACAUGAAGUAGGAAGUAGGACAGUUUCCCUUUAUCCUUGGUCUCGUCUCCAAAGAGGGCAAACAAAUACAUGUCAAAUACUACAGUGAUUGAUUGAAGUUGCCCAGUACAAUGAAACCAAUAGAAUAUGGUAGGAUCGGAGAUGUUGUUACAUCGCUGCUCUUUUGGCAACAUGGUCUCAUUAGAAAAUGUCAAAACAAUAGUGCCAUUUAACCACAUAGGUAUAUGUCACUUCUGUGGACGUAUUACUGAUAUGUCACUAAAUUAGACGUCACUUAUAAUGACAUAUUAGCUACUUAUAUGUCACUAUAACGUCUGCUUAUGUGGUCAGAUUCAUUAUGUGAGUCAUCUUUUAUUGUUUACAUGGAGAGUAUACAGCUGAUUCCUCCAUCAGAACUGUGUACAUCAGUCUACAUGGAGAGUAUACCGCUGAUUCCUCCAUCAGAACUGUGUGUACAUCAGUCUACAUGGAGAGUAUACAGCUGAUUCCUCCAUCAGAACUGUGUACAUCAGUCUACAUGGAGAGUAUACAGCUGAUUCCUCUAUCAGAACUGUGUACAUCAGUCUACAUGGAGAGUAUACAGCUGAUUCCUCCAUCAGAACUGUGUACAUCAGUCUACAUGGAGAGUAUACAGCUGAUUCCUCCAUCAGAACUGUGUACAUCAGUCUACAUGGAGAGUAUACAGCUGAUUCCUCCAUCAGAACUGUGUACAUCAGUCUACAUGGAGAGUAUACAGCUGAUUCCUCCAUCAGAACUGUGUACAUCAGUCUACAUGGAGAGUAUACAGCUGAUUCCUCCAUCAGAACUGUGUACAUCAGUCUACAUGGAGAGUAUACAGCUGAUUCCUCCAUCAGAACUGUGUACAUCAGUCUACAUGGAGAGUAUACAGCUGAUUCCUCCAUCAGAACUGUGUACAUCAGUCUACAUGGAGAGUAUACAGCUGAUUCCUCUAUCAGAACUGUGUGUACAUCAGUCUACAUGGAGAGUAUACAGCUGAUUCCUCUAUCAGAACUGUGUGUACAUCAGUCUACAUGGAGAGUAUACAGCUGAUUCCUCCAUCAGAACUGUGUACAUCAGUCUACAUGGAGAGUAUACAGCUGAUUCCUCCAUCAGAACUGUGUACAUCAGUCUACAUGGAGAGUAUACAGCUGAUUCCUCCAUCAGAACUGUGUGUACAUCAGUCUACAUGGAGAGUAUACAGCUGAUUCCUCUAUCAGAACUGUGUGUACAUCAGUCUACAUGGAGAGUAUACAGCUGAUUCCUCUAUCAGAACUGUGUACAUCAGUCUACAUGGAGAGUAUACAGCUGAUUCCUCCAUCAGAACUGUGUACAUCAGUCUACAUGGAGAGUAUACAGCUGAUUCCUCCAUCAGAACUGUGUACAUCAGUCUACAUGGAGAGUAUACAGCUGAUUCCUCCAUCAGAACUGUGUACAUCAGUCUACAUGGAGAGUAUACAGCUGAUUCCUCUAUCAGAACUGUGUACAUCAGUCUACAUGGAGAGUAUACAGCUGAUUCCUCCAUCAGAACUGUGUACAUCAGUCUACAUGGAGAGUAUACAGCUGAUUCCUCUAUCAGAACUGUGUACAUCAGUCUACAUGGAGAGUAUACAGCUGAUUCCUCCAUCAGAACUGUGUACAUCAGUCUACAUGGAGAGUAUACAGCUGAUUCCUCUAUCAGAACUGUGUACAUCAGUCUACAUGGAGAGUAUACAGCUGAUUCCUCCAUCAGAACUGUGUACAUCAGUCUACAUGGAGAGUAUACAGCUGAUUCCUCCAUCAGAACUGUGUACAUCAGUCUACAUGGAGAGUAUACAGCUGAUUCCUCUAUCAGAACUGUGUACAUCAGUCUACAUGGAGAGUAUACAGCUGAUUCCUCCAUCAGAACUGUGUACAUCAGUCUACAUGGAGAGUAUACAGCUGAUUCCUCCAUCAGAACUGUGUGUACAUCAGUCUACAUGGAGAGUAUACAGCAGAUUCCUCCAUCAGAACUGUGUACAUCAGUCUACAUGGAGAGUAUACAGCUGAUUCCUCCAUCAGAACUGUGUACAUCAGUCUACAUGGAGAGUAUACAGCUGAUUCCUCCAUCAGAACUGUGUACAUCAGUCUACAUGGAGAGUAUACAGCUGAUUCCUCUAUCAGAACUGUGUACAUCAGUCUACAUGGAGAGUAUACAGCUGAUUCCUCCAUCAGAACUGUGUACAUCAGUCUACAUGGGUGCUAUGUCUAUAUUUAGAUUUUGAAGCCAUAAGAUGUGAUCUUUCUUAUCUAAUAACAACACUGCAAUAUUUUACUUCUGAGUUUUCUUUCUUUGUUUACUUGGUGGGUCUUUACUUGAACUCUUAUUUUCUGAAAGUGUUUUUAUGUUUUAUUUUGACAAUAUCUGUACAUUACGGCUCAGAUACAUAUUUCUCCCUCAACUGUUUGACCAUGUAGCAUUGUUUGUCACUGUAUACAUAUAUAUUAUGUUGGUGUGUUUUAAGACUGGAGUUAUUUAGUUAUUUAUUUGUUGUGUUUCUGAUUGGAAAGUAAUAAGCUAAGAAUCAAGGACAUUAAUUAAAUAUCUCUGUACUUCUC